rnacentral:rRNA from 1 species
AUGAACGCUAGCGACAGGCUUAACACAUGCAAGUCGAGGGGUAACAGGGUAGCAAUACCGCUGACGACCGGCGCACGGGUGAGUAACGCGUAUGCAACCUGCCUAUAACUGGGGAAUAGCUCCCUGAAAGGGGGAAUUAACACCGCAUAAUACUAUUGAUUCGCAUGGAUUAGUAGUUAAAUGUAGCGAUACAGGUUAUAGAUGGGCAUGCGUGACAUUAGCUAGUUGGUGAGGUAACGGCUCACCAAGGCUACGAUGUCUAGGGGUUCUGAGAGGAAGGUCCCCCCACACUGGUACUGAGACACGGACCAGACUCCUACGGGAGGCAGCAGUGAGGAAUAUUGGUCAAUGGGCGCAAGCCUGAACCAGCCAUGUCGCGUGCAGGAAGAACCUGCCCUAUGGGUUGUAAACUGCUUUUAUAGUAGAAGAAACACAUCUACGUGUAGAUGUCUGCCAGUAUACUAUGAAUAAGCAUCGGCUAACUCCGUGCCAGCCGCCGC